UAUGCUUGUUAUCGUGUGUGUGUG
rnacentral:misc_RNA from 1 species